GACGAACGCUGGCGGCGUGCCUAAUACAUGCAAGUAGAACGCUGAAGGAGGAGCUUGCUCUUCUGGACGAGUUGCGAACGGGUGAGUAACGCGUAGGUAACCUGCCUGGUAGCGGGGGAUAACUAUUGGAAACGAUAGCUAAUACCGCAUAACAGUAGAUGUUGCAUGACAUUUGCUUAAAAGGUGCAAUUGCACCACUACCAGAUGGACCUGCGUUGUAUUAGCUAGUUGGUGGGGUAACGGCUCACCAAGGCGACGAUACAUAGCCGACCUGAGAGGGUGAUCGGCCACACUGGGACUGAGACACGGCCCAGACUCCUACGGGAGGCAGCAGUAGGGAAUCUUCGGCAGUGGCCGGAAGUCUGACCGAGCAACGCCGCGUGAGUGAAGAAGGUUUUCGGAUCGUAAAGCUCUGUUGUAAGAGAAGAACGAGUGUGAGAGUGGAAAGUUCACACUGUGACGGUAUCUUACCAGAAAGGGACGGCUAACUACGUG
rnacentral:rRNA from 1 species